rnacentral:rRNA from 1 species
UACGGAGGGUGCGAGCGUUGUCCGGAAUCACUGGGCGUAAAGGGCGCGUAGGUGGUAACCUAAGCGUGUGGUGAAAGCCCGGGGCUCAACCUCGGGUCGGCCAUGCGAACUGGGUCACUGGAGCACUGUAGAGGCAGGUGGAAUUCCGGGUGUAGCGGUGGAAUGCGUAGAGAUCAGGAGGAACACCGAUGGCGAAGGCAGCCCCCUGGGCUAACACUGACGCUGAGGAGCGAAAGCCAGGGGGGCAAACGGG